UACAGAGGGUGCGAGCGUUAAUCGGAAUUACUGGGCGUAAAGCGUGCGUAGACGGUUAUUUAAGUCGGGUGUGAAAGCCCCGGGCUCAACCUGGGAAUUGCAUUCGAGACUGAAUAGCUAGGGUACGGUAGAGGGAAGCGGAAUUUCCGGUGUAGCGGUGAAAUGCGUAGAUAUCGGAAGGAACAUCAGUGGCGAAGGCGACUACCUGGCCUGUUCUUGACGCUGAGGCGCGAAAGCUAGGGGAGCAAACGGG
rnacentral:rRNA from 1 species